rnacentral:lncRNA from 1 species
AUAACACAUAGAGUUAGGAGGGGCUAGUCCUCUGUGUGUUCAACCUCUUUGGAAGGUCAGGUUUUCUUUGCGUUUGUGUGUGCUCUUGUCACACAUAAAUCAUUGCUGUGAAUUAACAAUGGGAGUCUCUGUGUGAUCUUUGAUUUAGAAAGACCUGGUAUAUCAACAGUAAUUCCUGCUGGUAAUUUACUGUGCGUUGUGCUAAUGAGAGGUGGAGGAGGUCUGUGAACUGAGAGAUGAAGAGGGGGAGGAGGUCUGUGAACUGAGAGAUGAAGAGGGGGAGGAGGUCUGUGAACUGAGAGAUGAAGACCGGGGAGGAGGUCUGUGAACGGAGAGAUGAAGAGGGGGAGGAGGUCUGUGAACGGAGAUAUUGAGAGGGGGAGGAGGUCUGUGAAUGGAGAGAUGGAGAGAGGGAGGAGGUCUGUGAACGGAGAGAUGAAGAGGGGGAGGAGGUCUGUGAACGGAGAGAUGGAGAGGGGGAGGAGGUCUGUGAAUGGAGAGAUGAAGAGGGGGAGGAGGACUGUGAACGGAGAGAUGGAGAGGGGGAGGAGGUCUGUGAACGGAGAGAUGAAGAGGGGGAGGAGGUCUAUGAACGGAGGGAUGGAGAGGGGGAGGAGGUCUGUGAACUGAGAGAUGAAGAGGGGGAGGAGGUCUGUGAACUGAGAGAUGAAGAGGGGGAGAAGGUCUGUGAACGGAGAGAUGAAGAGGACAUGUAGAACACCUACCUUUAUUGUUUAGCUGGAAUGAAAAACACCAGAUAGAUAGCCUGUUCUCUCUCUCUCUUUAUCUCUCUCUCUCUCCCGCUCUCUCUUUCCCAUCUGACAAUGAAAGUGACUAGAGAACUUUUACUAAUGAUAAAAACGAAACAAUUAACGGUAAUAUGUUUAUUUAUUUAUCAAAAGGUAGAAAGCAUACUGUAUAUUUGAACGAUAAGUUAUAAAAAUGUAGGUACUGUAAUGAUAAAAGAAUUGUAUGGUAAACAAUCAAAACCGUUAACCUUUUUUCACACUGUGUUAAGAACUUAAUAGGAUAGAUGUAGAAAGAUAGAACUCUAUAGGGAUAGAUGUAGAAAG